UACAGAGGUCCCGAGCGUUGUUCGGAUUCAUUGGGCGUAAAGGGUGCGUAGGCGGCGGGGAAAGUCUGAUGUGAAAUCCUGGGGCUCAACCCUGGAACUGCAUUGGAUACUUCCUUGCUAGAGUACUGGAGAGGAAACUGGAAUUUACGGUGUAGCAGUGAAAUGCGUAGAGAUCGUAAGGAAGACCAGUGGCGAAGGCGAGUCUCUGGACAGUUCCUGACGCUGAGGCACGAAGGCCAGGGGAGCAAACGGG
rnacentral:rRNA from 1 species